CACCGGCAGCUCAAGUGGUGGCCAUUUUUAUUGGGCCUAAAGCGUUCGUAGCCGGCCUGAUAAGUCUCUGGUGAAAUCCCGUAGCUUAACUAUGGGAAUUGCUGGAGAUACUAUCAGGCUUGAGGUCGGGAGAGGUUAGAGGUACUCCCAGGGUAGGGGUGAAAUCCUAUAAUCCUGGGAGGACCACCUGUGGCGAAGGCGUCUAACUGGAACGAACCUGACGGUGAGUAACGAAAGCCAGGGGC
rnacentral:rRNA from 1 species